rnacentral:rRNA from 1 species
UACAGAGGGUGCAAGCGUUAAUCGGACUUACUGGGCGUAAAGGGCGCGUAGGUGGUUAAUUAAGUUGGAGGUGAAAUCCCUAGGCUCAACCUAGGAGUGGCCUCUAAGACUGGUUAGCUAGAGUACGGUAGAGGGGAGUGGAAUUUCCGGAGUAGCGGUGAAAUGCGUAGAUAUCGGAAGGAACAUCAGUGGCGAAGGCGACUCCCUGGGCCUGUACUGACACUGAGGCGCGAGAGCAUGGGUAGCAAACAGG